GCUCCCAUGGCGUACUGCGCUCGCCUUGCACGCGGGAGGCCCGGGUUCGAUUCCCGGCGGGGUCA
rnacentral:tRNA from 1 species